ACAACCGGAGGAAGUGGGAUGACGUCAAAUCAUCAUGCCCCUUAUGACCUGGGCUACACACGUGCUACAAUGGUUGGUACAACGAGUUGCGAGUCGGUGACGGCGAGCUAAUCUCCUUAAAAGCCAAUCUCAGUUCGGAUUGUAGGCUGCAACUCGCCUACAUGAAGUCGGAAUCGCUAGUAAUCGCGGAUCAGCACGCCGCGGUGAAUACGUUCCCGGGCCUU
rnacentral:rRNA from 1 species